UGGAAUUCUGCUAUUCUGAAAAAUGAGGUGCCACAAUUUGCAGAUCCAUCCAUAUGAAGUAGCAAGUGAUCCAAAAGGUACAUGUUUGGAACAGACUCUACUUCCUUUUUCUUGUUGAAUGAGCGAGCACAGAUAGAUUAUUCUUCCACUUCUGCCUUGUAUCAUCCCUGGUUAAGCUAACAAUGCCUUAGACCUACUUGUGUGCUCAUUUACCCACCAUACUGACUUUCUGUAUCAUCUGUUUCUCUUAACUAGUGGACAAGGCUUUCUAAUAGAGACAUCAUGAACAAUAGAUCUAAUAUAGACAGGAUUCUGGUUGCUCUUUGUUUAUGCUUGUGAUGUGAAGUAGACAAAAAUGGCCAAAUGAAUGUCCUGUGCUGCCUUGGUCAGUAGACAGAUGAUAAGUCUAAACUUCCCAGAUCAAUGCCACAAUUUUUACUUUGUUAAUUUCCUUUAGACCUUCAGAAAGCUCCUUUUUCUAAAAUGUCUCCAAUAAGAUAUUGUUUUCAUGAGCAGUGCACAAACCUAUUUUGCUCUUUUAAGUAGCCUAAGCACCAUCAUUUCCACUUGUAAGCUUGCUUUGUUUGUGCAGAUGCUUGAGUCAAGCUUGUUGUUCUCUCAACAUCAUAUCAUGAGUUAUUAAGCUUCUCUUCUACUGCUAAUAACGAUGCUGUUAUUCAUAUGUUUCUUGCAUAUUCUUUCAUUGAGCUUCAUCUUCUCCAAAAAAUCGUGUAAACUGUGUAUUCAGUUAUAUUUUUUGAUUGCAUGUUGUUCAUAGCUGAAGGCUCUGAGCAUGUUGUAGCUACUGUGUUAGGGCUUUGUGAUACAACCAGAUUCGCCAUAGACUCUCACUGUCAUCUAUCUAGAAAAUUAUACAAUCUGAAGAAUGAGUUUUUAUCUGAACACAUCAACAUCUUUUUGCUUGCAGUAUAUGACUGGCACAUGGCGCAGCAGGGAAUCCAGAUCUCCCAGGGCUGAGGUGUUCACGCCAUUAUUGCAAAUGCUUCAGAGGAAUCUUAAAUCCAAGAAUGAAAGAGGACGGCCAGUCUCUCAUGUUUCACAGUGACUCAUGUUCUCGUCUGUUGCUCACAUGCAGAACUUGCAGAACCCUGGAACUGGUACUAUUUCAAAGGCAUUCGUGAUAGUUCUGUCGUCUUAAAGCCUGUUUUGCACCAGAUUUGCCUUGAGCUUUUGAGAAGAGAAUCGGAUCUGUUCAAUCCAUUACUACAAAGAAAACUUCA
rnacentral:lncRNA from 1 species